AGGUAGUACGGUAGUCGGAUAGAUCGGAGAUAGAUUGGAGGUGGAUGGAUAGUAGUUUACAUAGUCAUAGUGUACAUAAAAAUCACAAAAACAUAAAAUAGAGAAACAGAAAAAUCAAACAUUAAAGUAAAGAGUGUAUAUACAUGCAAUAGGAAGGGAGGAAUCAGGGCACACGGUUGCCACACAGAAGUAUUAUAGAACACAUAGAUGGGACGCAUGUAUUGAAAACAAGUGAGAAUCAACGAGGAGAAUGCGAGAGAGUAGGCUCUGGACACGACAAGCAAGAGAGUACCUUCGGAAGUAAAUCUGAAGAAUAUAAAUAUGAGAGCUACGGGAGAAUCAACAGGAAUCAUAAUGAGAGCGUGUUCUAUAAUCUUUGGAUAUUAUCUAUCUCAUCAUUUUCAUAUGGCAACCGUGAUUAAAAGAGUGCAUCCCAACUGGUGGAAUCUGGUAUCCACCAAUUGGCUUGCCCUCCCUUCGAAGGGGACAUCGUA
rnacentral:sRNA from 1 species